rnacentral:lncRNA from 1 species
GCCGGUGAACCAUCGCGCCGACGGGAUGCGGAGCAGGGGAGGCUAGUUGCCAUUGCUGAUGCUGGAGUUGGCACUGCUGCAGCUCUGCUCAUAGGAUGGAGGUGCCUCGUAUGGGUAGCCCCACGUGCUGUAUUCUGGAGGCAAAAUGAGCGAGCUAGCAGUGGGCACGGGCACCACGUUUCCCUCGGCGUAGUAAGGGACGGUGGCUCCCGUCGAG